rnacentral:tRNA from 1 species
GAGAUUUAGCUCAGUUGGUCAGAGCAUCCGGCUCAUAACCGGGCGGUCCGGGGUUCGAAUCCCUGAAUCUCC